rnacentral:rRNA from 1 species
UACAGAGGGGGCAAGCGUUAUUCGGAAUUAUUGGGCGUAAAGGGCGCGUAGGCGGCCUGGCAAGUGACGGGUGAAAGCCCUCGGCUCAACCGAGGAACUGCCCUCCAAACUGCUUUGCUUGAGGCCGGGAGAGGUGAGUGGAAUUCCCAGUGUAGCGGUGAAAUGCGUAGAUAUUGGGAGGAACACCAGUGGCGAAGGCGGCUCACUGGACCGGUUCUGACGCUGAUGCGCGAAAGCGUGGGGAGCAAACGGG